GUGCUUACUUUGGCAGCGCAUACCCUAAGAAGAUACAGACAAGAUUAACCUGGCCCCUGUGCAAGGAUGAUGUGCAAAUUUAUGAAGUCUUCCAUAUUUUU
rnacentral:snRNA from 1 species